GCCCUUAGAGUUUGAUCCUGGCUCAGGAUGAACGCUGGCGGCGUGCCUAAUACAUGCAAGUCGAACGAAUCUUCUUCGGAAGAUGAGUGGCGAACGGGUGAGUAAUACAUAGGUAACCUGCCCCUGUGCGGGGGAUAACAGGAGGAAACUCCUGCUAAUACCGCAUAGCCAUGAGCACCGCAUGGAGCUCAUGCCAAAUAUCCUUUAUGGGAUAGCGCAGGGAUGGACCUAUGGCGCAUUAGCUGGUUGGCGGGGCAACGGCCCACCAAGGCAACGAUGCGUAGCCGGCCUGAGAGGGCGGACGGCCACAUUGGGACUGAGACACGGCCCAGACUCCUACGGGAGGCAGCAGUAGGGAAUUUUCGGCAAUGGGGGAAACCCUGACCGAGCAACGCCGCGUGAGCGAAGAAGGCCUUCGGGUCGUAAAGCUCUGUUGUAAAGGAAGAACGGCGCAUACAGGAAAUGGUAUGCGAGUGACGGUACUUUACCAGAAAGCCACGGCUAACUACGUGCCAGCAGCCGCGGUAAUACGUAGGUGGCGAGCGUUAUCCGGAAUCAUUGGGCGUAAAGAGGGAGCAGGCGGCCGCAAGGGUCUGUGGUGAAAGCCCGAAGCUAAACUUCGGUAAGCCAUGGAAACCGGGCGGCUAGAGUGCGGAAGAGGAUCGUGGAAUUCCAUGUGUAGCGGUGAAAUGCGUAGAUAUAUGGAGGAACACCAGUGGCGAAGGCGACGGUCUGGGCCGCAACUGACGCUCAUUCCCGAAAGCGUGGGGAGCAAAUAGGAUUAGAUACCCUGGUAGUCCACGCCGUAAACGAUGAGUACUAGCUGUCGGAGGUUACCCCCUUCGGUGGCGCAGCUAACGCAUUAAGUACUCCGCCUGGGGAGUACGCUCGCAAGAGUGAAACUCA
rnacentral:rRNA from 1 species